UGAGGAAUAUUGGGCAAUGGGCGCAAGCCUGACCCAGCAACGCCGCGUGAAGGACGAAGGCCUUCGGGUUGUAAACUUCUUUUUGGGGGGAAAGGAGAGGAUGGUACCCCCAGAAUAAGUCACGGCUAACUACGUGCCAGCAGCCGCGGUAAUACGUAGGUGACGAGCGUUAUCCGGAAUUACUGGGCGUAAAGCGCACGCAAGCGGUCUAACAAGUCUGGCGUGAAAUCCUCUGGCUUAACCAGGGGCGGUCGCUGGAGACUGUUAGACUUGAGGCGAUGAGAGGGGUGCAGAAUUCCCGGUGUAGUGGUGGAAUGCGUAGAUAUCGGGAGGAAUACCAGUGGCGAAAGCGGCACCCUGGCGUCGUACUGACGCACAUGUGCGAAAGCGUGGGGAGCGAACGGGAUUAGAUACCCCGGUAGUCCACGCGGUAAACGAUGAACACUAGGUGUGGGUGGAGUCAAUCUGUCCGUGCCAAAGCCAACGCGUUAAGUGUUCCGCCUGGGAAGUACGGCCG
rnacentral:rRNA from 1 species